rnacentral:misc_RNA from 1 species
UCUUAUCUCCUUCAACGACGAGAAAAAAGAAUUAAAAAGGAUAAAAAUGAGUAUACACCCCCUUCGUCCGCACCCGCAUCCUGUGCCAGAGCAUAGUGCUGCUUUCGUAAAAACCGGCCUGUCGGUUUCCAUUCAAAAUGCGCGAGUCACGAGGGCUCAUUCACAAAUUUCACGACGAAAUUCUACACUCGGCCGGACCGUCUGCGAUCUUGAUCGAGACAACAGAGACAAACACAUAAGAGUGAGAGCGAUCGGGAUAUCCUUUUUCUUGAAACCUCUUGUUGCUGGAUUUAUAUUCACAUUAUUGCCCGUUUGAGAUCUGGAGAAUGUUGAUGACUUCCGUCUCCCGCAACAAGCAUCGGAAGCGCUAGGAUGUAAAAGAAAGAAGGAUGAACCGUUAACGCGACGCACGGGUGCCGUUCGAUGAUUAUUCGACCGAGUGUCUGUUUUCUGAUGGGAUAUAUCUCCUGUUGCAGUAGGUGGUUCCUUCUAUCGCUUCGCGUACGGACCACGUGCCACGCUGAUCCUCCCUCGUUGAUUCUCUUUCUUCCAUUGCCGUCGUCCAGACGGCUUUAAGGAGAGAUGAAAAAAAUGAAGGGGACGGAAAAAGAGGAAGUGGACUAGACGAUGAGGGGGCUGAGGUCGUAGUCCUGAACAGUUUGCUGGUGGAUUCAUGGAAUUCAUUCCUCUACGCACUUUUAAUCGUGGCUCAUUGAAGAAUCCAGGCGCAAGAAGAUGCUCGUUGCACAUUAUCUCAAUCCUUUAAACAGUUUCCGUAGCGAUUAAUGAAUGACAUGGGAAGAACUAGUAACCGUUUUACUACACGGAAACCACCGGAAAGAGAGACUUGUAAUUUUCGUUUAAUAACGAGGCGGGAAACAUUUUUCGAAUCGCAUUGCAUUGGCGUUGUCUGAAAACAUUAUACUGUAUGAAAAUUCUACGAAGAAUGAUUAAGGUCGAUGAAGACGAAAAUGCGAUCUGUUGUCGUAACGAGGGAAAUCGGACAUCUCUAAGUAUAGCUCGUAUUUGCAUGCAGAUCAGGGACGGAUCGUACUGGGUUGCCAAGCUGCUACAACGUGCAAAGUCCACAAG